rnacentral:rRNA from 1 species
GAGGAAUAUUGGUCAAUGGGCGGAAGCCUGAACCAGCCAUCCCGCGUGAAGGAAGACUGCCCUAUGGGUUGUAAACUUCUUUUCUGUACCAAGAACGACCUUUACGUGUAGAGGAGUGACGGUAGUACAGGAAUAAGCAUCGGCUAACUCCGUGCCAGCAGCCGCGGUAAUACGGAGGAUGCGAGCGUUAUCCGGAUUCAUUGGGUUUAAAGGGUGCGUAGGCGGCAUAAUAAGUCAGUGGUGAAAUCCUGCGGCUCAACCGUAGAACUGCCAUUGAUACUGUUAAGCUUGAAUACAUUUGAGGUAGGCGGAAUGAGUAGUGUAGCGGUGAAAUGCUUAGAUAUUACUCAGAACACCGAUUGCGAAGGCAGCUUACCAAACUGAUAUUGACGCUGAGGCACGAAAGCGUGGGGAUCGAAC